rnacentral:rRNA from 1 species
AUUGAACGCUGGCGGCAGGCUUAACACAUGCAAGUCGAGCGGGGUGAUGGUGCUUGCACUAUCACUUAGCGGCGGACGGGUGAGUAAUGCUUAGGAAUCUGCCUAUUAGUGGGGGACAACAUCUCGAAAGGGAUGCUAAUACCGCAUACGUCCUACGGGAGAAAGCAGGGGAUCACUUGUGACCUUGCGCUAAUAGAUGAGCCUAAGUCGGAUUAGCUAGUUGGUGGGGUAAAGGCAUACCAAGGCGACGAUCUGUAGCGGGUCUGAGAGGAGGAUCGGCCACACUGGGACUGAGACACGGCCCAGACUCCUACGGGAGGCAGCAGUGGGGAAUAUUGGACAAUGGGGGGAACCCUGAUCCAGCCAUGCCGCGUGUGUGAAGAAGGCCUUAUGGUUGUAAAGCACUUUAAGCGAGGAGGAGGCUCUUUUGGUUAAUACCCAAGAUGAGUGGACGUUACUCGCAGAAUAAGCACCGGCUAACUCUGUGCCAGCAGCCGCCGUAA